rnacentral:lncRNA from 10 species
GUAAGAUGUCCUUCCAUCCUCUUCACCAUAAGCCAUGAUUGUAAGUUUCCUGAGGCCUCUCAGCGAUGCUUCCUCUUAAGCCUGUGGAACUGUUUCAGGAGCUGAAAAGGGUCUGGAUUUUACCCUACUUGAAAGAUAACAGCUUUUCACAGUUUCAUGGAUGCUGACAGAAGACAGGAUUUCUGGAUCAGAGAAAGGCGGUGCAGUAGUCCCCUCUUAGCUGAGGAAAAUACGUUUCAAGAUGCCCAGUGGUUGCCUGAAAUCACAGAUAGUACCAAACUCUACCUAUGCUAUGUUUUCUCCUAUGCAUACACACCUAUGGUAAAGUUGAAGUUAUAAAUUAGGCACAGUAAGAGAUUAAUAACAAUGACUAAUAAUAAAACACAGCAAUUAUAACAAUAUACUGCAGUAAAAGUUGUGGGAACAUUUUCUCCCGGAAUGUCCAUUUAAUAUUCAUGAACCACAGUUAAUGCCGGUAACUGAAACUGAAAACAAAACUUCAGGUAAGCGGGGAAUACUGUAUUAC